rnacentral:tRNA from 1 species
GCCCCUGUAGCUCAGAGGAUAGAGCGGCAGUUUCCUAAACUGCAAGUCGGAUGUUCGAAUCAUCUCAGGGGCGCCA